rnacentral:rRNA from 1 species
GACAGAGGUGCCGAGCGUUAGGCGGAAUCACUGGGCUUAAAGCGUGUGUAGGCGGGUCGUUAAGUGCCUUGUGAAAUCCCACCGCUCACCGGUGGAACUGCUUGGCAUACUGGCGAUCUUGAGCCACUUAGGGGCAACCGGAACAAAUGGUGGAGCGGUGAAAUGCGUAGAUAUCAUUUGGAACACCAAUGGUGAAAACAGGUAGCUGGGAGUGUGCUGACGCUGAGACACGAAAGCCAGGGGAGCGAACGGG